GAUGAACGCUGGCGGCGUGCCUAAUACAUGCAAGUCGAGCGAACGGCCGAGAAGCUUGCUUCUCUGAUGUUAGCGGCGGACGGGUGAGUAACACGUGGAUAACCUACCUAUAAGACUGGGAUAACUUCGGGAAACCGGAGCUAAUACCGGAUAAUAUUUUGAACCGCAUGGUUCAAAAGUGAAAGACGGUCUUGCUGUCACUUAUAGAUGGAUCCGCGCUGCAUUAGCUAGUUGGUAAGGUAACGGCUUACCAAGGCAACGAUGCAUAGCCGACCUGAGAGGGUGAUCGGCCACACUGGAACUGAGACACGGUCCAGACUCCUACGGGAGGCAGCAGUAGGGAAUCUUCCGCAAUGGGCGAAAGCCUGACGGAGCAACGCCGCGUGAGUGAUGAAGGUCUUCGGAUCGUAAAACUCUGUUAUUAGGGAAGAACAUAUGUGUAAGUAACUGUGCACAUCUUGACGGUACCUAAUCAGAAAGCCACGGCUAACUACGUG
rnacentral:rRNA from 1 species